rnacentral:rRNA from 1 species
CGUGUAGGCGGCGAUUUAAGUCUGGAGUGAAAGUCCUGCUUUUAAGGUGGGAAUUGCUUUGGAUACUGGAUGGCUAGAGUGCAGGAGAGGUUAGUGGAAUUCCCAGUGUAGCGGUGAAAUGCGUAGAGAUUGGGAGGAACACCAGUGGCGAAGGCGACUAACUGGACUGUAACUGACGCUGAGGCGCGAAAGUGUGGGGAGCAAACA